AUAAACAGACGAAGGAAGACGGACGAUGCGCAACUCACAAUUGCGCAUCGUCCGUCUUCCUUCGUCUGUUUAU
rnacentral:pre_miRNA from 1 species